rnacentral:rRNA from 1 species
AUUGAACGCUGGCGGCAGGCUUAACACAUGCAAGUCGAGCGAGCGGCGGACGGGUGAGUAAUGUCUGGGAAACUGCCUGAUGGCGGGGGAUAACUACUGGAAACGGUAGCUAAUACCGCAUACCAUCAGAUGUGCACAGGUGGGAUUAGCUAGUAGGUGGGGUAAUGGCUCACCUAGGCGACGAUCCAUAGCGGGUCUGAGAGGAUGACCAGCCACACUGGGACUGAGACACGGCCCAGACUCCUACGGGAGGCAGCAGUGGGGAAUUGUGUACAAUGGGCGCAAGCCUGAUCCAGCCAUGCCGCGUGUCUGAAGAAGGCCUUCGGGUUGUAAAGCACUUUCGGCAGGGAGGCGUUACCUGAAGAAUAAGCACCGGCUAACUCCGUGCCAGCAGCCGCGGUAAUUC